GAUAUGAACUUGUGGUGAAUAGUUGGAGUUCUGAUUGUAUAAUUUAUUUAGCUUGUGGAUUUAUAAAUGUUGUUCAUGUUUUUCAAGUUGGCUUGGGUUGCUAUAAAUGUGAAUUAUCGAGUGAUGUGAUAUAUGAUUAUAAACUGCACAGGUUUUAUAGAUGUGAAUUUGAUAGAAUGUUUUUCAGUAUCCUCAAAUGUUAGUUUGGAUCCUGGAUUGGUUUGUGAUGAAAAUUUUA
rnacentral:lncRNA from 1 species